GGUCUAUUAACUCAGUUAGUUAGUUAGAGUAUUGUCUUAAUAAGUUGAAAGUUGUAAGUUUGAUUCUUGUUUGGACCA
rfam:Glycine max cultivar Williams 82 chromosome 17, whole genome shotgun sequence.